rnacentral:rRNA from 1 species
CACGUAGGGUGCGAGCGUUGUCCGGAAUGAUUGGGCGUAAAGAGCUCGUAGGCGGUGUGUCGCGUCGGCCGUGAAAACCUGGGGCUUAACUCUGGGCGUGCGGUCGAUACGGGCAUCACUGGAGUUCGGCAGGGGAGACUGGAAUUCCUGGUGUAGCGGUGAAAUGCGCAGAUAUCGGGAGGAACACCGGUGGCGAAGGCGGUUCUCUGGGCCUGUACUGACGCUGAGGAGCGAAAGCGUGGGGAGCGAACAGG